AUCCAAUUUGUGAACAUUAGAAACAGUAAAUCUACCAAUAUGACUAGUAUUUGUAAUCAUUGGACCUUUGGAAAUAUCAACAUGUUGACCAACUUUGAAUAAUGAAAUUUUACCACCAUUAUUUGCAGCAAUAUCAGAAUUUAUAUGGAGCUAGAUGUUUUUGAAGCAAUGGGGAAUACUAAAAAAACUCAUGAUAAAUUCUUUUGGGAUGAAAGUACUGACUGAUUUGUUUUGGAAAUUACAUGCCCUUGUAUAGUUUGUCAAUCCCUUCAUUAUGUCAUAUGGCUAGUGGAACGACAGAAGAAAAAAGAAGAGGAUAUUCAAGGUUUUUUUGUCACUGAAUGAUUGUGUUUGAUGAAGCGUGCCUAAUUGAUAGUGUUAUUUGUUGAGUUAAUGAUGCUAUCCAUAUGGAUUAUUUUAGGUUUGUGUCUUUGUGAUUAUCCAUAUUUUGUGUAAAACUGGGAAAAUUAUAAGAGAAUUCGCAAUGAAACAUUGAACGCUGUAAGUCAAGAGAAAAGAACUUAUCUACAAACUUCAACUGAAAAUGCAAAACAUCUCAAGUCUCUGUGGAGACUAGCUGAACUCAAUAUAUAUGUCAUUAAAUAAAAAUUUGCCCUCAGGCAUAGAUCUGCCAGAGGAUUUGAACAAGUAUUUCUUAAAUUUUGCUCAGGAUCAGGGUGUAGAUGAUGUGUCGGUUAUUAAUUAUUACAACACAAAUCAAUAUUUUGAAUUGCUGCAUUCUGGAUUCGGAGUUCCCUAUGGAGUGGAAGAUUUCGAGAGUGUUGCCACCUCCUAAGGUGACUAACCCUACUACUUUCAACGAAAUUUAAAGUGUUAGUAUAUAGAAUAAGGACUCAUCUGGAGAAAUAUAAUAUCUUACCAUCUCGAUAGUCUGGUUUCAGAAGAGCGUUUUGUUUUUGCACGGCUCUUCUUGAUGUUGUUGACUCUAUCAUUUCAAGGUGGAUUCAGGUGAGAUUUGUGUUUUGACAUUAUUAGAUUAUUCAGAGGCGUUCGAUAGAAUAAACCAUAAAAUACUAAUUGCAAUUUUGAAAUAUAUAGGAUUCUCUAUGUCUGCCAUUAGGUUGAUGAUAGAUUACCUCCAGGAUCGAUGUCAGUAUGUGGAGAUAUCGUCGGGAAGAUCUUAAAAAGGGGGCUGUGAAGUGUGGUGUUCCUCAGGACUCUGUACUUGCACCUAUUCUCUUUUGUAUAUAUACACGUUUCAUUCUGGAUAGACUCAAAUCUUGUACUGACCUUCGAUAAGCCUAUGAUACACAGAUAAAACAAAGGUUCUCGUUUUUGGCAGCAAGGCGGCUGAUAGAUUAAAAUUAGGUGUCAACAGAAGUAAGGUUGCAACUGUCAGAUCAACUUGAAAUUUGGGAGUCAUUAUGGAUGUUGACCGGUUCACUGAGUAUCAUUAUGUGCAUUGAGAAGGCAAUACCCUUAUAGACAUUUCCUGUCGCAGAAGUCGAAGAUACAGCUUACUAACUCGCUUGUCUUGAGUCAUUUCAAUUUUUGUGACGCGUUGUAUGGCCCCUGCUUACGUCUGGAGGACAGGGUGAGAAUCCAGCGAGUACAGGGUGCGUGUUUAAGGUUUAUUUAUGUCAUCAGAAAGUAUGAACCAGUUAUUCAUAAGUUGAAAUGGUGCAAUUGGUUAAAUAUGGAUCAGAGACGUGAGCUUCACUCUGUGGUUUUGUUCCAUUCAAUUAUUAUUAACAAUUUGUAUUGUUUUUUAUUAUUAACAAUUUGUAUUGUUUUCAAUAGCCGAGUGCUAAAUAAAGUUUAUUAUUAUUAUUAA